AUUAGGAGCCACCUGGUUCUGGACCCAGCUUGGAAGUCUGGCUGUGGGUUGUCUCACAGCCCUGGGUCCCCUGGGGUUUGGACUAGAGCAUCUUGGGGUCUCCAUCCCUGCCCCUGCCGGCUGGCCCUUUGGCUGGUGCUGCAGCCAUGCCAGGAUUAAGGAAUAAACCCUCCCGGUUAGUAGAAUCCUUACUCCACCCAGUCCGCAGGACAGCCAGCCCAGGGCCGAGGGUCCCCUAGGGCUACUAUGAGUGGGAAAAUGCAAAUGGACAAGGAGCUUCAAAAGGGGACGGGACUUCAACUGACUGCAUUUGGACCCAGGCUUCUAGAGGCUUUUUUUUUUUUUUUUUUUUGGCCACACCCAUGCAUGGCAUGUGGAAGUUCCUGGGCCAGGGAUCGAACCUGCGCUGUAGUUGUAACCUGCACCACUGCUGAGGCAAUUCCGGAUCCUUAACCAGGUAGGAACUUUCAGGUUCCCAGAGGCUUAAGAAGGCUUUAGGGUUCUACCAGAAGUGGGUUUGAAAAUUCCUUUGCUACAAAUGCUCUGAAGCAAGCUAUGGCUUUCUCUCUAUCCGUCAUCCACGCAGCCAGCGCUGCCUGCUAGCAUGUUCUUGAAUGGAGCAAGCCCAGCUGGCAGAGCGUCCAAGCGCAGGUGGCUGCAGCAGCUGCCAGGCUGGGGAAGGAGCAGUCAUUCCAGGCCGGCCAGCCCUUAAGUUGUCAUCCACCAUGGGUGGGGCAGGAGCUGGAUGAGGAAGAAACUCACAAAGGGGCAUGAAUCUGCCUCCGCAGAGCCUGGACCGCCUCCCCGAGAGCAGGGAAGGGCCUGCGCCACGGGACGUACAGCCUUACAUGGAGGGUCCCAGGUCCCCAGGAAGGGGAAAUGCACAAAAGCUGAAGGGAGAGGAGAAAACUGACUGUGACAAUACAAUGAAGAAGGAACUUGGGUUGGGGGAGUCUGGGGUAUCACAAAAGAACGCCGCUUUAGAACAGGACAUGCCCAGAGUUCCAGAUUAAGAACCCAACUAGUAUCCAUGAGGAUGCGAAUUCCAUCCCUGGCCUCGCUCAGUGGGUUAAGGAUCCGGUGUUGCCGUGAGCUGUGGUGUAGGUUGCAGACUCAGCUCAGAUCUGGCAUUGCUGUGGCUGGGAUGUAGGCUGUGGCUGGGAUGUAGGCUGGCGGCUGUAGCUCCAAUUCGAUCCCUAGCUGGGAACCUCCAUAUGCCACAGGUGCAGCCCUAAAAAUACAUAGAUACAUAAAUUUUAAAAAUAAAACAGGACCUCCCCACCUCUUGAAGCA
rnacentral:lncRNA from 1 species